AUAAUACUCCCUUCGUCCCGAAUUAGUUGUUUCAAAUUUGUCUAGAUACAGAUGUAUCUAGACACGUUUUAUAUUAGAAUGUUAGAUACAUCUGUAUCUAAUAAAUCUAAGACAACUAUUUGGGACGGAGGUCAUGCCAU
rnacentral:pre_miRNA from 1 species